rnacentral:rRNA from 1 species
UACGGGGGGGGCAAGCGUUGUUCGGAAUUACUGGGCGUAAAGGGUUCGUAGGUGGCCUACUAAGUCAUACGUGAAAUCCCUCAGCUUAACUGGGGAACUGCGUCUGAGACUGGAAGGCUUGAGUGCAGGAGAGGAACGCGGAAUUCCAGGUGUAGCGGUGAAAUGCGUAGAUAUCUGGAGGAACACCGGUGGCGAAGGCGGCGUUCUGGACUGCAACUGACACUGAGGAACGAAAGCGUGGGGAGCAAACAGG